GGAGACCCCUGCUAAUAGGGCAUUGCACGCCAAAAUAACCAGACAGAAAAACAAUUUUCCCCCUAUGCCAUCCAUCUGCUAAACAACUAAUUCCCACAACACUCUGUAUGCCCUGGGAGGUUGAAUCACUUAGAGGAGACGUAUUAUCCUUCUACCUUCCCUCUUACCUAUUUCCUUUGCUUCUUCUUUUGUUGUUUGUAUCUCAUGACCUAUGUUGAUUGACUAUUGUUAGGUUUGUCUCUUACAAUUUAUGACGAUUGUGCUUUGUGAUAAUGAUUGUGGUUUAUCCCCCGUUGUUUGGGUGUACAGGGUACAGAGAGCUUGUGUACCUGAGACAAAUUCCUUGUGUGUCCACUCACACUUGGCUGAGAAAGAAUUCUAUUACGAAUGAGACCGGACAGCCAUUUGACCAGAAUGCUAUCCGGUCUCCUGCCGUAAGCAGGGGGUUGGACUAGAAGACCUCUGAGAUCCCUUCCAGCUCUGGGAUUCUAUGUUGAGAAGGUUUCUUCUCCCUGAGCAGAGAAAGAGUGAUGUGUGGAAGCGACAACUGGAUACUCGUAAGGUGAUCUGCAGGUCUUGUGAAUUCUCGGUGUUUUGCAAACAGCCGAUUCUCUGUGGGAAAAGAGGUUUUCUAUGCAACGAGGAAAGGACGCAGUGGCUCAGUGGCUAAGACGCUGAGCUUGUCGAUCGAAAGGUCGGCAGUUCAGCGGUUCGAAUCCCCAGUGUAACGGGGGUGAGCUCCCGUGACUUGUCCCAGCUUCUGCCAACCUAGCAGUUCGAAAGCAGGUAAAAAAUGCAAAUAGAAAAAUAGGGACCCCCUUUGGUGGGAAGGGAACAGCGUUCCGUGCGCCUUUGGCGUUGAGUCAUGUCGGCCACGUGACCACGGAGACGUCUUCGGACAGCGCUGGCUCUUCGGCUUUGAAACGGAGAUGAGCGCUGCCCCCUAGAGUCGGGAACGACCAGCAUGUAUGUGCGAGGGGAGCCUUUACCUUUAUGCAAAGAGAAGGAGGAUGCUACACACCCACACCGAGUGUGAUUGUCUUUGUGUUCCUGGUAAAGCCUGGUUACUUACAAUGCCCUGCCCCAACCAGGUGUCUGCUGAAGGUCUUAGAUUACAAUUCCCACGUCUCUCUUCCUUUGCCUGCUUUGGAACAGGCCAACCCACCCUGCCAUGCGGCGGCUUUCGCACAGCCCGCGAAGCUGGGCCCUCAAUCACUCGGGUGCAGGCCGCGUGGGCCUUACCCAGCUGGGGGUUGAGUAAAUCUUGUGCCAAUGGGAAAACCCACAAAUGUGAUCAACGCAGGUUAAACCUGUUGCCUGAAUCUGGCCGUGUCAUGCCCAGAUCUUACUCAUGGCGAUGGGCUCACCGGGCUAAGGGUUAAAGGAGAGGAGAGGUUUUCAGAGACUGCAGUUGCAAAACUCAUAAAAAUUGAAAAUCCUGGAAGGGACAUAAAAUAAGGGAAGUUGUUUUGCUUCCUGAGGGUUUCAGGGCUGGCAAAGAGGACAAGGGACAUGGAAUCAGAGAAGCCUGAUCUCUCUUGGACAUAAGUGUCUUUAAACCUUGGGGCUGGCCUUCUUCUCUAAUUGGCUCUCCUCUCCAGAUCUUCUCUUUUCACAUGGCAGGGAGUUCCAUAGUUCAGAGCUAUGUGAGAUUCUCGGGUAGUGGCCUCCAUUCUGAAUCCCCCAUCCUUCCAGUUCGCUGGAUGGGGUUGAGCUUAGACCAAGGGGAAACCGAAAUGAUUUCUUUGUAUCGGUGAUCUGCCGCAAUCUUCUUCCCCUUCCUUCUUUCCUUCUCUGGAAUAAGCGCCUAUUUGAUACCGCUGCUCUGUCCAUCAGUCCGUUGUGCCUCUGGGUGAGUCCCUGUUCCGGGUGAGAGGGUCUGUCCUGGCCCCCUGAUCAGAAGAUUGACUGGCGGCGUCUGUUAAGCCAUAAGAUGCCUUUCUCCUCCUAGAUGCAAUUCCAGGCUCUGGUGUUUCCCGAUCUUGGACUUUGAUAAUUGCCUAGAAAUUUAAGAAUUUGGGGACUUUCUGGUUGCCUUCAAUGGGGUUUUUCAAAGAGCCAGGGCCUGUUCUGAGGCUUCAAACACCUCUUCUUCCCUCCAUCCAGGGAAUGUUCAGCAGUCAAAUUCAGGUCCAGCCUGUCUCGCUGUCCGCCUGGGAGCUGUGCAACAUGGGUGUGCAAGUUUUGAGUCGGGGGUAGCUGGAGGCCCAUAAAUGGAUGUGGCUAGAAGUGGCCAUAUCAAAGCCAGAAGAUGUUUUCAUUGGGAAGGGUGGCGCAUUUGACGGCUCAUAUUUAAGAGUCGUGUUGUUGUUUUAAAAGCACCCCAGGGCAGGACAAGAAAUAAUGGAAGGAAGCUCCCGAAGGAAAGAUCCCACGUGGAGCAAAGGAGAAAUUGUCCGAUAGUGAGGACAAUUAAUCAGUGGAACAGUUUGUCUUCUCCUCUUCCCUUCUGGAUUUGGCAGUUUUGUCUACCUAUCGAGUCCUUUCCAAGGUAGCAGAUGUAUGGAUUAUUACACUUACUCAUCUCACUGCACUACUCUUGUACUUAACUCCUGGCAGCAGACUUCAUUAAUCCUCCUCCUCCUCCUCCUCCUCUUUUCCCCACAACAACCACCUUGUGAAGUGGGUUGGGCCCAGUGACUGUGACUGGCCCAAAGUCAUCCAGCUGGCUUUGAUGCCUAAAGCGGGAUUAGAACUUGCCGCCUCUCUGGGUUUCUAGCCCAGCGUUUCUUAACCACUAGAACAGAGCAUUUCCCUGAUCCUCUUCAAAGAGAAAGAGAUCUCAGCCAGAAAAAGGGGCAACCUGGCAUAUUCUUUUGAGAGGGUGGGGGAUCGACUCCGGAGCCGACAUGCCAAGGAACUCAGCCUUCCUUUCCUGGCGGAGCUGCCUUUGAAACUCGCCCAACUCCACGGAAACUUUGCGGGCUGAUGGGCCAGCCAGACGCUCCUGGGGAUUGCUCAAGCCACAGAGGGGGUGGCUGGCGGUGGGAAGCCUCUCCCCUCCUCUGACUUGGAGGGAGCCUGCGAUUGUAUCAGGCAUCUAUUUGUUGUGGUGCUGGGAGCAGGGCUGAACUCCCGGGGCACUCCCGGGGUGGAGCCCCAAUCAGCUGGCUUGAAAGCAGGGCGAGGAACCCGACGCCUACAGCUGCCGCGGGUGCUGGGAUAGCCCGCAUUAAAGCUGCCAUUGAAGUGCAGCGAGGCCACCUGGAGUGCUGAGCUUCCCAGCUGGAUUCUGGCGUGGAGCAAAACUCAGAUCCAGAAACCGUCUUUUUCCUCCGCCGGGGUUGCCUCGCUGCUGAAUCUCUUUGCGUACAGAUCCGAUGUUUGCACAGGACCCGUGUCGGCCACCCGUGGAACUCGAUUCUUUAAUUUGCUCAAGGGAACCAGAAAAACUUGCCACCGGCAAUUGCCAAGGAUUAGGAAUGAGUGACGUUUUGGGAAUCUGGUGGAAAUGGAAGUCCGUUUCCUCUAGGAGGCGCUGUGCUGCACUCUCCUUUGAACUAAAGAGAGGAAACUUUUAAAAAUAAAAUAAAUUCGUCCAAAAGCUUUGUUUGGGAAAUUUCAGGGACUUGCUUUUUGUGGUUGUAAAGGAUCGUUUUUGUAGUCUUUAACACACCUGAAGCGUGAGAGAAGGCAGAUGGAAAAGUGUGUGUGUGUGGGGGGGGGGUGUCUUCCUUUCCUGGGAGGCCGGAGUGGAUUGGCCACAGAGGCGAUGCGGAGAUUGUGAUACUUGUCACUUGUUUGUUUUUCUGCUCUUUCCUUCUUGAGCUGCUUGAAAGCUGCAGAUGGACACUUGUGUUUUGGGUUGGGUUGCUUAAGUGGGGCAAACCCCCCUUGCCUGCCCCAACAUUGGGGAGAAGAGGCGGACAGAUUUUUUUCUUUAACCUUUCUCGAGGAAUCUCUUCCCGAGCCUUCCCAAGCAUCAUUUUCUUCCAAAGUUCCUUUUUCUUUCGGGCCCGGGACAGUUGAAAACAGGGAUGGCUAUGUUGUAAGUUUGUUUCCAGCACAUAGUCUCAACAAACAGGCAUUGUUUGCGAUGCUUGGAAGGUUUUGCAAAGAACUGAAACUCUCUGUGAAUUUUUAUGUCCGUUGGCUUGUCUGUUUGCUUCAGUUCCUUAUUUGCAAACUCGGUUGUUUCUUGGUGACUGUUUCCAGCACCGGGACUCUUGAAGCAGGGCCAAGAGUGUCUUAUGUGUGUCCAAGAAGAAACUGGUAAGUUUUUCCAGUAGCAGGAAGUCCCAAAGGCAAGGAGCCAUGCCUAAUUGGCUAAGUCUUCAGAGAUCAAGACCUAACAAUUUUGAGUUGGGUAAAGAAAAAUAUUUGCACACUGGCACGAGGGUUAAUUUUCAGGGUGUGACUGCUGGGGGAUAAAAUCAUUAAGGGAUGCAGUGGCUAAGAUGCUGAGAUUGUCGAUCGAAAGGUGGGCAGUUCAGCGGUUCGAAUCCCAAGCGCUGCGUAACGGGGUGAGCUCCCGUGACUUGUCCCAGCUUCUGCCAACCUAGCAGUUCGACAGCACGUAAAAAAAUGCAAGUAGAAAAACAGGGACCACCUUUGGUGGGAAGGGAACAGCGUUCUGUGUGCCUUUGGCGGUGAGUCAUGUUGGCCAUAUGACCACAGAGACAUCUUUGGACAGCGCUGGCUCUUUGGCUUUGAAACGGAGAUGAGCAGCGCCCCCUAGAGUCGGGAACGACUAGCACGCAUGUGUGGGGGAACCUUUACCUUUACCCAAUUUUUUAAAAUGAAAACUUAAAAGAGUCUGACCAUGACGUGUUGUUAUUUUUCCCCAUGAUCUUUGGUGCCUGAGGUUCCACCAGCCUGUCCUUUCCUUAUCCAUCCUCAUAAGGACUAGGAACUUGUCUCUAAUGCCAAAACGAUCAGGAGCCUUUUGACGGGCCUUGCUUUAAAUUGCGGUUUGCUUGUCCCGUUUUUUUUAUGGAACAUUUCUGUAAGCUGUGAGUCACUCUGGAAUCGGCCAGCGCAAAA